UACGUAGGGUGCAAGCGUUGUCCGGAAUCAUUGGGCGUAAAGCGCGCGUAGGUGGCUUCGUAAGUCCGUUGUGAAAGUCAAAGGCUCAACCUUUGAAUGCCGAUGGAUACUGCGGAGCUAGAGUACGGAAGAGGCGAGUGGAAUUCCUGGUGUAGUGGUGGAAUGCGCAGAUAUCAGGAGGAACACCAAUAGCGAAGGCAGCUCGCUGGGACGUUACUGACACUAAGGCGCGAAAGCGUGGGGAGCGAACAGG
rnacentral:rRNA from 1 species